AGAGUUUGAUCCUGGCUCAGGACGAACGCUGGCGGCGCGCCUAACACAUGCAAGUCGAACGGAGUCAAGAGGAGCUUGCUUUUCUUGACUUAGUGGCGAACGGGUGAGUAACGCGUGAGUAACCUGCCCUGGAGUGGGGGACAACAGUUGGAAACGACUGCUAAUACCGCAUAAGCCCACGGUCCGGCAUCGGGCUGCGGGAAAAGGAUUUAUUCGCUUCAGGAUGGACUCGCGUCCAAUUAGCUAGUUGGUGAGGUAACGGCCCACCAAGGCGACGAUUGGUAGCCGGACUGAGAGGUUGAACGGCCACAUUGGGACUGAGACACGGCCCAGACUCCUACGGGAGGCAGCAGUGGGGGAUAUUGCACAAUGGGGGAAACCCUGAUGCAGCGACGCCGCGUGGAGGAAGAAGGUUUUCGGAUUGUAAACUCCUGUCGUUAGGGACGAUAAUGACGGUACCUAACAAGAAAGCACCGGCUAACUACGUGCCAGCAGCCGCGGUAAAACGUAGGGUGCAAGCGUUGUCCGGAAUUACUGGGUGUAAAGGGAGCGCAGGCGGACCGGCAAGUUGGAAGUGAAAACUAUGGGCUCAACCCAUAAAUUGCUUUCAAAACUGCUGGCCUUGAGUAGUGCAGAGGUGGGUGGAAUUCCCGGUGUAGCGGUGGAAUGCGUAGAUAUCGGGAGGAACACCAGUGGCGAAGGCGACCUACUGGGCACCAACUGACGCUGAGGCUCGAAAGCAUGGGUAGCAAACAGGAUUAGAUACCCUGGUAGUCCAUGCCGUAAACGAUGAUUACUAGGUGUUGGAGGAUUGACCCCUUCAGUGCCGCAGUUAACACAAUAAGUAAUCCACCUGGGGAGUACGACCGCAAGGUUGAAACUCAAAGGAAUUGACGGGGGCCCGCACAAGCAGUGGAGUAUGUGGUUUAAUUCGAAGCAACGCGAAGAACCUUACCAGGUCUUGACAUCCAGGUAAAGCGGUAGAGAUACUGUGUGCACGCAAGUGCGAUCUGAGACAGGUGGUGCAUGGUUGUCGUCAGCUCGUGUCGUGAGAUGUUGGGUUAAGUCCCGCAACGAGCGCAACCCUUAUUGCCAGUUACUACGUAAGAGGACUCUGGCCAGACUGCCGUUGACAAAACGGAGGAAGGUGGGGAUGACGUCAAAUCAUCAUGCCCUUUAUGACUUGGGCUACACACGUACUACAAUGGCGUUAAACAAAGAGAAGCAAGACCGCGAGGUGGAGCAAAACUCAGAAACAACGUCCCAGUUCGGACUGCAGGCUGCAACUCGCCUGCACGAAGUCGGAAUUGCUAGUAAUCGCAGAUCAGCAUGCUGCGGUGAAUACGUUCCCGGGCCUUGUACACACCGCCCGUCA
rnacentral:rRNA from 1 species